CCUACGGGUGGCAGCAGUGAGGGAUAUUGGUCAAUGGGCGGACGCCUGAACCAGCGAAGUCGCGUGAGGGAAGACGGCCCUAUGGGUUGUAAACCUCUUUUGUCAGGGAGCAACGCCGGCUACGUGUAGCCGGACGGAGAGGACCUGAAGAAAAAGCAUCGGCUAACCCCGUGCCAGCAGCCGCGGUAAUACGGAGGAUGAGAGCGUUAUCCGGAUUUAUUGGGGUAAAAGGGGGCGUAGGCGGAAUGCCAAGUCAGCGGUAAAAUCGCGGGGCUCAACCUCGCUCCGCCGUUGAAACUGGCGUUCUUGAGUGGGCGAGAAGUAUGCGGAAUGCGUGGUGUAGCGGUGAAAUGCAUAGAUAUCACGCAGAACUCCGAUUGCGAAGGCAGCAUACCGGCGCCCAACUGACGCUGAGGCACGAAAGCGUGGGUAUCGAACAGGAUUAGAUACCCUUGUAGUC
rnacentral:rRNA from 1 species